GUAGGUGGCAAGCGUUGUCCGGAAUUAUUGGGCGUAAAGCGCGCGCAGGCGGUUCUUUAAGUCUGAUGUGAAAGCCCACGGGCUCAACCGUGGAGGGUCGUUGGAAACUGGGGAACUUGAGUACAGAAGAGGAAAGCGGAAUUCCACGUGUAGCGGUGAAAUGCGUAGAGAUGUGGAGGAACACCAGUGGCGAAGGCGGCUUUCUGGUCUGUAACUGACGCUGAGGCGCGAAAGCGUGGGGAGCAAACAGGAUUAGAUACCCUGGUAGUCCACGCCGUAAACGAUGAGUGCUAAGUGUUAGGGGGUUUCCGCCCCUUAGUGCUGCAGCUAACGCAUUAAGCACUCCGCCUGGGGAGUACGGCCGCAAAGGCUG
rnacentral:rRNA from 1 species